UUGUCUCAUAACCUGCAUUUUAGGAUGUUAUUCAACUGCUUGGUUUUGACAAUUAUUGGCUUUGCUCCUGGUUUUAAUUUAUGUUCCCUGUUUACAUAAUUGUUGGCUGAUCGAGGACUGCAUGGCAUGUGUUGAUCUUCUUGAAGUCAUGCUGGUGGAACAUUUGCAGAGAAGUAGAAGAAAGAAGAGAGGAGCAGCAGGAGCAGGCAUAUUACAUCAGUGGUGGCAGAAGUAGAAGAAAGAAAAGAGGGGCAGCAGGAGCAAGCAUUAGUAGUGAGCGAAGUGGGCAAGCAAUCAUAAAUAGUCUAAUAAUCACUGUAUCCAUUUCUAGCACACUUAUGUUUUUGUCUCUGAUGCAAUGUAAGACAAUAAAUUGUCACUGAUUCAUGACUUUGUGGAACAAUGACUAAUACGAAUGUAUAUAUCUUGGUGGAUCCAAUGUAUUUUGAAGUUUAAAGUAUGGGUUAAA